UGAAAGGAUUUCCCAUCUCA
rnacentral:misc_RNA from 1 species